ensembl:lncRNA
GGUUGUGUAUUUUCUGUUUGACCACUUUCCAAAGGUGGCUUCUCUUAAUGUGGACCCUUCGAGGGUCCUGGGUCACAGCUUUCGUCUGCAAGCCAAACUGCUCGUUCUUUAAAUCUAAAGCCAUGAGGCAUCGGCCUAGUUUCCACUGAGCACUCUGAAGUCAGAACGUUUUCCUCUCCAACUGAACGAGCCAGGUUAUCGGCCCCUGCUGUGUGAUUAUAUAUUCAAGUUAAAAAUACACAGGGAAGGAAUUUCAUUGUUUCAUGCAUGUCAGCCCUGGAGGCCAAAAACACAUUUUCUCUUAAGCUCUUAAUUUGAUAUCCUGACAGUCAACUGGGGGGGACAAAAUAACAAGAUGAUGUGAUGCAGCCCACAAAAAGGCUCCGGGUUUGACAUUUGUGAUCGCGCUCCUGCCUUGAGGAAAACCAGUAUGGGAGAAUCAUUAUGCUUCAGUAAUCAAACAGAUCCUACAGAAAGAGAUUUAAUCCGAUUCUUACUUUCAGCACUUUUUACACAUGCAAAUAUUUCCACUAGUCGUGAGCUUUAUGAGGCCUUUUCAGAUUCCCGCUGAACUUCUGUCUUCCACAUAUCCACCUCUUCCCACGUGGAGGUCUCAAGUCUGUGCUACUAACUCGUCAACUCUAAAGACACAAAACUGUUGUUACAAAUUCUAAAUGGCCCCAAUGAGCCAACAUGGCUCAUAAACCCACUUUUAACUACGGAGUCAAAUAAAAAAACAUGAUCAUUUGUUGGAAUUCAUCCGAACGUUGGCGGACAACUUUAAGUAAGUUUGCUCACAGUUGAGUGUAAAUAACAUCAUCCAAAGUCAAACAUGUACUCUCUGCCAACAAUCAAUCUUUUCUGUGCUCAGCCAAUAGAAAACCAACACCAGGCUAUCGUGUGUGUAGCAGACAAACCAAUAUACUGAUGAAACACAUGAUUGACUUUCCAAGCGAACAUCAAUCGGGCUCUGGUGAGACAAACUAACUCAGUCACAGCGGAGACCUGAACCAAAAACAAUUUCCAUAACCAGCCAAAACCGACAUUUCAGUUCCUCUUGAGGGUUUGUCCACUGUGACAAAUAAGCAGCCUCCAUACGCUGGGAUGCCGUGCAGAGUUUGUCAGUGAAGUAAAGGGUCGAAUAAACCCUCAGACUCCGGAGAGGCACAAUGAAGCCACCGACACACGGCUGGAAAUGCUUCAAACACGCUAAAACAACAAACAAAACACUUCAUGGGUAUUUUGGUACAAAUAAGUCUUCAACUAACUCAAACGUCUUCGGGUUUAAAGACUCUCCCACAUUGCUGAAACCCAGUUCAACCUGAACGUGCACAAAGUCGUGCGGUUUACGUCUGCUUUGUUGGUGUUGGCUGCCGCGGUGCUGACGGAUGAUGAUUUGCUGCAUGAAUCGCAGCUCUCGGGUGGGAAAUGCUCCCGCUGUGUGACAUGGGAAAUUGCCAGAAGUCAAAGAAACGAAGCAGCACGCCGUUGUUGACCUCCUGUGAUGAAAGCACAUUCCAGCUUGGGAGGAAACGCAGUCGACAGUCAUUUAUAAUCCAGCUGCAAUAAUUACUAUGCUAUUAUUCAAAGAAAGCUACAUCAUUUUAGCUUGGCAUGCUUUGCCCCAGCUGGCAGGAAUGCAUUCAUAAUAAUAAGUGUGGGACACGAGGGACAUGAGGCAUAAAGUGGGGCCGCAGCAGAAACGCAUUUCUACACACUGUGAUCUUAAGCUCUGGUUGCAUUUGCAUUUUUUUUAUUCCUAUUGCAAAAAAGUGAAUGUUGUGGAUGGCAAAGGGUGAAUACCAGCGAGGUUUCCCUGUUGUAGUGCAGUAGCAGGUGGUGAAGUGAGACACGUGCGCCCUGUUUGAAUGCUGCAGGUUAUUUCGUUUGUUAUAGCGGGACUCUGUGUGAAGCUGCCCCAGAGGGGGACACAGACAUAAGUAGUCCCCCUUCACCACACACACACCUGCAGCUACAGAGCGGAUACAUCUCCAUGUGACCGAAACUUCCCAUGAAUUCAGUAAAACAGAAUUCACAAUGAAAACCUCCAUUCCCUGUGUGCCAGAUUGGGGUGAAAAGAAGCCACUCCACCGUGAGGUUCCUGCAGCUCUGCCCCAAAGGAAUUCCUGUCAGUGUCUCCCACCAUCAGAGAUGCUCUCGAUGCAUUUAGCUGUCACAUCGGAUCAAUAAACGUGGGCUUUAACAUCUUAAGAGGUGGACGGCGGGGAAAAGCUCCACACGGUGUCUUUGCACUCACGUGGGAAACAAAAUAAAAACCUCUCACUGGCUCCGCAGAAAAAAUGAUAAGUUAGUGAGAGAGCACAAAGCCAUGUCACAUGCAGUCGUACGUACGUGGAUGAUCGACACCCGGGCACAUGUGCACUGUAUAUGAAACUGUAGGGAAAAUCUGCAGCCACAGUUGGUAAGGAAAAAAAAAAAAAAAAACAGCGGCCCACAAACAAAUUGUAGCAUUAGCAAAAAAAAAAAAAAAAAAAGCAGCAACAAGCACAUACCUCUGCAUGGUGUGAGUGUCGAGUGUUUGGUUCCGUUUUUGCUGCCAUAUUAUCCGUUCAGAACCGGUACUCCGUUAGUUGCAAGAGAGAUCAGCAGAAAAAAGGCCUUCGUAGGGCUCCUUGAACUGAAUGUCACUUUUCCACUCGUUUCAGGGAACCCCACGUUACAUAAGCACACCUAUUUUCCCCGCCUCACCAGUCAGAUGGCAUUCAGUUCUGUUCCAACUCCCCUCACCCCCACAUACUUGAUCUGGAAAGGUCUUUUUUUUUUAUUGUAUAAACCGGUACACAGGUCGAUGUGUGGCACUCUGCAUCUGGAGGAUUUCGACAGUCCCGCCCAAUCUGCGAGCUGAUAUGCAGAUGAGCUGCCUCACAUCACAGACUUCUUACAAAGGCCGUCACAUCCAACCCAGACCGUCAUUGCCGGGGCCCGGGUGGUACCAGGCAAAUCUGUGAGAGUGUGCGUGUGUGUUCAUGAUGGGGAGGAGAGGUGACUUAUGGCCUAAAUCUUUGUAUCGAACACACACACACACACACACACACACACACACACACACACACACACACUUAAAUGGGCCACAGCACAAAUCCUUUCCAUUAAUCUUGGUAGUUCUCUGAGCCUGGCAAGUCUUACAAUACUCACACAUUCUUAAGGAAUGCGGAUUUUGUGAUUACGUUAUUGCGUUGGGUGUUGUAGAGACGCGAAUGGGCUUAAUGACUCUAAUCUAUAUACUGUGUGGCGUUUAAAAAGAGAUAUUUCUCAACCACACAUACAGAGGGCACGGUUUGAAAAGUCCAGCGUGUGCUUGGGAUAGAAACUUCAGUAUUUCAGUUUGACUUGGGAAAGAGAAAAGGAAACAAAAUGCACAAUUCAGCAGGGAGUUGAUUUUCUGCUUAUGGGAGGAAGAAGUCGACGUAACGCGAUCCCAAUCUCAACAGCUCACGCCGCAAAGUGUGCCAACACAGCAGUAAUGACUACCAUAAGUAGGAGCCGGGGAGCAACACAAACAGUAUCAGGUCAACAGACCCGCCAGUCCAGCCAACCACACAGUCGGCAAAUCCCCCUCAAUGUGACACGCACGGAGGAGGCCGUGAUGAGGGGGGGCAGCGUUUCGUCUUACGGACGGGAGGCGUUACUUCCUGUCGGGAAAGACUCCGGGGAGACGAGUUGAGGUCCGCCCACGGACCUCUCUGGCCGGCGCUCAUCACCAGAGCGAUUAACCCGGAGCGCCUGAAAGGGCUGACGGUGCCCGAGGGGUGGAUGGCUUUUAGAUACACAAUCUCAGGCCGCACACACACACAGCACGUGACAGGGAAGGGCCAUCUCUGGUGGCGUGAGGGUCACAUGCCCGGUGGUAAUUAAGAUGGUAUUUCAGAGAAGAUCCAAGCCAACGGAGCGGCUCGUCCCCACAGAGCCGGACUGUGUGCGUUGUGUGUGUGUCUAUCGCCAAAUGACGUCUCUACUUGUUGUAGAGCGUGCAGCUGUGCCCCAUGGGGAGCACGCAGCGGAGAGAGGGCAGUGCCACCUGCUGCUCACGACUGGAAAAGAAACAGCUGGACUACAGACGAACAGCUGCUGAAGUGGCUGCAGGUGUGCUGCAUGGCACACACACACACACGCGCGUACCUGUCUAGAUGCGCACAUAUGUGUGAAAUUAUGAAGGAAAAGCUUUUCUCUUCACUGGGAAUGAUGAGUUUGUUGUGACAAUAUGGUCUCCACUACAAGUUCACGGUGCACACGCCGGCUCCGCACACACAAGCUGGAGGAAAGAAAGGACGACCCGUUUCAGUUUGAGGUCAACAGAAAAAUAUGCAGAAAACACGCAGAAACUUUGAAUUGGAUAUACAUUUUCUCCUGCACAGUGUGAGAAAGUGGGUGAACGGUGGCUGGGUGCCGACGCCCUCUGAAGCAGAAUCCACCAGGAACAUAAAUAUUGUUCAACAAUGGCGAAGGACGACGGACCCGCUGAACUUACACUUCCUGCACUUCCUCCUCCAUUCAAUUAAGGGCCUUUAUCGGACAUCGAGAUUCCUGUUGGAAAGCGGCUGAAGCCUUUUUCUCGCUUUGUUUUUUCCCCCUUAAAAAGUGGCCUGGUGCAACAAAGGCUCAUGUGACUGUGUGUGUGUGUGUGCGCUUUCGGCUGUACGACUUAAAGAAAGGGAGAGGCUUUUCCCGAUUAAGAGAAUUCCUCUGACUCGUUUUAAAAUCCCACAGUACAUUACAUUCCAGUCUUUUAAAGGUUUAUGAGCGACAGUAUUCGCUGGUAGUCACCUGUGGCUGGUCCAGUCUGCACGUCCACUGACCCAAAACAUGAACCAGCUUUUAGCUACAUUUCUCCUAUUUUGGAAAUUCAUCUUGACUGAGAUCUAGAAAACAAGGGGGUGGAGGGGCAAUUAUGGCAAUAAGAAUUAUGUCUUUAGUUUUGGGGUGUAUGCACUGUUUGGUUUGUAAUCUUUUCCAACAGCUUGAGAAGCAUCAUUAGCAAAAAGCAUGGACGCUAUAAUGUGACCUGGCUGAAUUAAGAAAGAAUUGUUAUAACAUCAAGCAGAUUUAGAGCCUAUCGCGAUCAGAUACACACACGGCGCUGGAAUCGCUCCUGAGAAGCCACAACAAGGGCGCCGGCUUCUCCACGGCGCUUUAAUAUCGCCGUCUCUGGACGAGACCUGGCUUCUUUAAUGAGCUGUGAUGCCCGUUCCCAGCCAUCAUUCAACACCAGCAGCAGGAAUGAUCACGUCUAUUGGUUUCCAGUGAUCCCGUCUUGAGGUAUUGCGUAAGAGUGAACAGCCCCCAAAGAGCAACACCUGUGGGGCAAAAGGCGACGGUCAGACAAAACAAGCCCAACAUCUGCCGGCUGGUGAACUCGGCGUGGCCCCGGC